GACAGCCACUCGAACUCGGGAUCCCGCGUCUCAGGGUCGAAACCUGUGGCAGGGACAAUGGAGCACGGACUGAGCCACGGGGUUGAAAAGGCAGCUGCAUUUCUGUAAGAUUGUAUGUGGUGGAGACUUCCCAAGCCCGCUUCGCUCCUGCUCAGUUUGCAUCUGAAAUCCAAAUGCAAUUAACAGAAGUGAAGAAUCUAGGGCUCUGCCAAAGCAGGACUGAUUCAUUAUCCAACAAACUUUAUUAGUUCUCCAGUCCUGUGAAUUGAAAAGCAUGCAGAAGUGCACUGCAGUACCUGCCUAUCUGCUGAUCCACCGUAGAGCCAGGCCCUGAGAAUGACAUGAUAAGGAGAAAAGACUACACAUAGGAGAGGCCCAAGCUGAAAGAUGUGGCACUUACAAGAGCAGGGGACCCUGGGGCCACUGGAGAUGGCUCAACAGCCUACCUCCCGAGCUGUCACCGGUGGGCCUGCAGGACACCGCCGUCCCAGGGCAGAUUAGGGACUACAUUUCCCAGCGGCCCUGGCGUCACAGGACGGACAGCCAGCCUGCAAGUCCCAGCAUGCCCGAGUCGGUCAUGGGCGAGUAGGGCGAUGGAAUGCAGCCUGCACUAAGGACCCUCUGUUUACGGCAUGGAUGAAGCCAUGCUUCGGAUUGACAAAAUGCUAAGACAAAGCAUGGUUAUUGUCACUUUGGGGAAUAUCCUCUGACACGGUGUCUCUGGAGACUCACGGAAGCUACAUGCAAAUGAGGAAACCCAGCUGAUGUCCGCACUGUAAUCAGGUGAAGAUAAAGCCAGUCCUGGCAGAUCAGAGGACCAACAGCCCAGUCUCACUGGAAUGGGGAGGUGUCUAUUUGACUAGAUUGGUCCCUGACAGCUGAGGAGGGCUCUCAGGAGAGAGCAUAAAAGG